UUGUGCUGACCCAAGAAUCGAACUCAAGACUCUCCAGUCGGUCUCGUCGAUGACGCCGUAGGAACGCCGGGAAUGAGCUUCACCUCGCUUCAUCGUCAGCUGAUAAAGAACCGAAGGAGUGGAGAUAAUCAUUUUUGUUCGCGCUAUCUUCGAUAAUCUACACCAAAGGAAUAUAGCACUUGAUAGGAUAUCUUAGAACGAGUUACCGAAGAAUAUUAGUUAUACGUACAUGGGUUAGCAGUAAAAGAUGCGACGAAUUUCAAGUUCGCGUAACGUCGUAACGUAGGGGCGAUUACGAGACGACGGGGGUG